CUGCUUCAGCCAAGAGACGGCAGGCAGAAAAACAAGAGACGACAACUGGGAGAGCGCAGGUGUGACCCGUACGUACCUUCUUGGAGGCCCUCUCCACGAGCUUCUUGACGAACAUGGUGGCCGGUUGUCGAUUCACGGCGCGGCGCGGCGCGCUGGAGGACCACGCGAGAGAAAAGCCCCCGCAACCGGAUCAACUCGGGCCGAGAUCGGCUACCCCGCCUUCCCUUCACGGGAGGAAGAAGAAGCAGGCAGCGCCCCCUCCAAGUUGCCGACGUACUGUUCAGGAGCGGGAUCGAAACGAAACCGACCAAGACAACGCAAGGCAGGGCAGAGAGAGAGAUGGCGUGGCGUCGAGGAUGGCAGGGGAGGAUGGGGGAGGGGAUGAGUUGGCGUUCGGAGGGCAGUUAAGGAUCAGGUUUUGGUGGCUUCCUGGCCCUU
rnacentral:misc_RNA from 1 species